rnacentral:rRNA from 1 species
GGACCUCAGAUCAGGCAAGAUUACCCGCUGAGUUUAAGCAUAUCACUAAGCGGAGGAAAAGAAACUAACUAGGAUUUCCCUAGUAGCGGCG